AUUGAACGCUGGCGGCAGGCCUAACACAUGCAAGUCGCACGAGUGGCGGGCGUGUGUGUGAUGUCUUGGAAACCGCCUGGUGGAGGGGGAUAACUCCUGGAAACUGUAGCUAAUACCGCUUACCUUCGGAUCAGCCCAGAUGGGCUUAGCUAGGAGGUGGGGUAACCGCUCACCUAGGCGACUAUCCCUAGCUGGUCUGAGAGGAUGACCAGCCACACUGGAACUGAGACACGGUCCAGACUCCUACGGGAGGCAGCAGUGGGGAAUAUUGCACAAUGGGCGCAAGCCUGAUGCAGCCAUGCCGCGUGUAUGAAGAAGGCCUUCGGGUUGUAAAGUACUUUCAGCGGGGAGGCGUUACCCGCAGAAGAAGCACCGGCUAACUCCGUGCCAGCAGCCGCGGUAAUUC
rnacentral:rRNA from 1 species